rnacentral:lncRNA from 1 species
AAAAACCCCACCAAAUUUGGCCAAACGGUUUGGGAGAUAUGGCCCUUUGAAGUUCAAGAUUUUCUAAAAUCGAUUCGAUCAUAACUUGCCAACCAUACAUGGGAAUUGAGAGUUCUAGGACUUUUUGGAAAUGGGAGAACAAGAUCUUCAACUUUCAUGUUGGGCAAAAAUUCAUUUGAGGCUUUUAUCACAAUGUAAGUUUGAGGAUCAAAACUUUCCAUUUUUGGUAAGUUUCAGUUACAGGCCCAGUUUCCACUUUGGGAAAUUGUUGAUCUGGCUUCAAAUUCUCCAUGAUGGUGUUUGGCAUGAUAUAUGAUGACAUUUGGACAUGAAUGAACUCUCACAAACCGAUUCCAAUCAUCCAAUCACUGAUUAAAUGGACAGUGACCAACAGUUGACUUUUAGGGUUUCUGACUGAUGUGCAUUGACUGAUGACUUCCAAACCCUAAUUCCUUGAGAAUUUGACUUCAAAUGAUGUCCCAAGUUGAUUGAACUCUGGAUUAUUGACCAUGGUGCCCAAAUUCCACAAGCAUGACCACCAUCCACUACUUUGACUGACAGUUGACCUUUUAGGGUUUUUGACUGUCUGUGUAUGAACUGCUGACCUCUGAGCCCUCAACCCUUGACCAAAAUACUUCAAAUAACCUCCAAGCCAUGUGAACUUGUGGACAAAACCUAGGGCAUUGGUUCAAUGAGAAAUUCCUUUGCUUGCUUGGUUGACUGAUCAGG